rnacentral:rRNA from 1 species
GGGUUGUGAGGUUAAGCGACUAAGCGUACACGGUGGAUGCCCUGGCAGUCAGAGGCGAUGAAGGACGUGCUAAUCUGCGAAAAGCGUCGGUAAGGUGAUAUGAACCGUUAUAACCGGCGAUGUCCGAAUGGGGAAACCCAGUGCAAUUCGUUGCACUAUCGUUAACUGAAUACAUAGGUUAACGAGGCGAACCGGGGGAACUGAAACAUCUAAGUACCCCGAGGAAAAGAAAUCAACCGAGAUUCCCCCAGUAGCGGCGAGCGAACGGGGAGCAGCCCAGAGUCUGAAUCAGCUUGUGUGUUAGUGGAACGGUCUGGAAAGUCCGACGGUACAGGGUGAUAGUCCCGUACACCAAAAUGCACAGGUUGUGAACUCGAAGAGUAGGGCGGGACACGUGGUAUCCUGUCUGAAUAUGGGGGGACCAUCCUCCAAGGCUAAAUACUCCUGACUGACCGAUAGUGAACCAGUAC